AACCAUAGAAACCUGCGGAGUACCUGCGGAAGGAUCAUUACGAGAGUGUCACCACUCCCAACCCAUUGUUUACCUACCCGUCCACCGUGCUUCGGCAGGCAGCCCUGUGGGACAGAGCCUCGCCCCCUUUCGCGGGGGGUGCCUGCCGCUUGCCAACCAAAACUCUAGCUGUUUUAGUACCAUCUGAGUCUUCCACAAAUGAACAAAACUUUUAACAAUGGAUCUCAGAUCGGAAGAGCA
rnacentral:misc_RNA from 1 species